rnacentral:miRNA from 1 species
UUGCAUUUUCAGUGUGACUGAGUUGCUCACUUGUGGUCUGCCUGCCAUUUCCACAGAGAGGCUGGCACUGGGACAAAU